AUUUCGCCACAGAGACUGCAGCGCUUCCAGACUGCGAACAAGGUUUCAUUAAAGUCCCUCGCUCUGACCUCAACCCAAUGACUGCAAAUAAGGAAACAUGAAGAAUGUCCAAAUACGCCACAAUGUUCAGAUUACCUCUCAUUGCCAGCGGAAAGCUAAUCACAGGUCUGUUGGAGUCAGCAUCCUGGGAGCAUUUCAAGGGGAACAAUCCCUGACCUGCUCACUUCAGCUGAUUCUGCCCAUGUCCCCUUGUGCGCGCGUUGUGUGCAGCCUGGCAGGUGGUUGUACGGCAAGUCACGUAACUUGCACAGCGGGACGGACAACAUAAAGAUCAAGGCUAGUUAUCGAGCUCAUGCAUUGUGGAGGAUUAGUCUUGGUGGGCAUCCAGCUCGCCCCUGGUAUCCUCUGCAUGCGCUUCGCCUCUUUCAAGCCUGUCCCUCUGCAAGCUGUUCCUGGACCCUGGCACUGCCCUCUGUUUUGCCCCCCGCUAUGUUCAUUUAUCUCCAUACACUCUUCUGACAGCCCCAGGUCUUAAGCUGGCGCUGUGGGCGACCGCCUCGCCCGUCCAAAUCCACUCUGGUCCUCCCAUCUGUUUGGCACUGGACCGCGGGCAUCUGCUGAAGGCUAUUGUUGGGUACCGUCAUAUGCCGGGCCAAAAGGGCCCCAAGAGAGCCGCCGUCGUCCUGUGUAUAUGGUGUGUUCGGUGGUGUUCAAUGGUGUGUGGUUGUGCAAAAGUGUAUGUUUGCUUGUGGCACGAGCUCAGAGAAACGGCGGCAGGUCUUGGCCCCAGUCAGGGCCUUUGUUCUGGAGCGGUCCGGAAGCAGGCAUGCUGUGAAACCCCACAGUGCCCUGGCGGGGCAGUCGGAAUGCCCUCCUGCAUCAGGGACUUGACACCGGGUCAAAACACAGUCCAUCUCCAAGAGCCACAGAGCGCGUCUCGGGAGGAGAUCGCCACUAAUGAAGUCCACCCACUGAUGCCAGGCUUUGGGAAUUGUUUGCCCUGCGAUUUAGGGUGUCUUAUUGAUUGCAAGCUUCAUGAAACUCGAUCUGCAGAUGACACGGUGAAUUGCUGAGAUGUGCAAGAAUAUAAAUUUGCUCAUGACUGUCCAAAAUGAGGACGUCUAUACUGUUUCCUGCCAGAUUAAAUAACUCCUUAAAGAUCCCAUGAUAUCAAAAUUGGAGUCAGUGUCUG